AUACUUACCUGGCAGGGGUGAUUCCAAGAAAACGAAGGUGAUUUCCCCAGGGUGAGGCUUAUCCAUUACAAUCCAGAUGGACUGACCCCUGCGAUUUCCCCAAAUGGAGGAAACUUGACUGCAUAAUUUGUGAUAGUGGGGGACUGUGUUUGCGUUCUCCCCUG